AUGGCAAAUCUUUUUUCCAACAAAACCAUGAGGCUCAAGUGGAUGCGCAUGUCUCUUUUGAUCUUGGUUUUAUUCCUGGGUGACUCCCGCGGUUCCCAGGUGAAGUUUGGCCGCUUGGAUCGGUGGGUGAAGACCGGGUUUCAGUACCUGAAGUUAAACCUGUGCCGCAGGGUGUCUCUGUCUGAGGGCGAAUGUAAGCGGCUGUCCCAUCUUCAACUCAGCGGGGUGGCCGUGUACGUCUCCGAACCAAACUCCGAGAAAGUACUCGCCAUUCUCCCAGAUUCCUAUUCUUCGGGGAUGCUACCGCCGAAGCAAGGAGGUUAUGGUAUGAGUUCGGUACUGGAGGACAGUAGAAGACAUCAGGAUUUCUUCCCGGGAUCGACUGUUCAUGAUGCGGUGUUGGUGUUAGAUCCCAGUCCCGGAGAGAGUUUCGGACACCCCGUGGUUCUCUUUUAUGUGGACCUAAACACGACCAAGAAAAAAUGUGCACACAUGGAUGGAAUUUAUUUAGGAGAGGAGUGUCUGACCCUGGCCCUAAAGAGUCGCUGUCAGAACCAGCUGAAGCGUCGUCAGAGCGGCAGCGAGCGGCCGGCGGGGAACGGGCGCGCCCGCAGGGCUACUGCGGCGAGGCCCAGGAGCGGCCCAGGGAGGGUGGAGCGCAGCGGCGGUCUCUGUGAGAUACAUUUCCUUCCCAUGGUGAUCGAGGUCAGGGAUAACAACCGGACGCAGAGGCUACGUUGCGUGGACCACCCAGAUUUUGCCCAGUGUCCCCAGCCUCUGCCCCUCACCAGCCCCAACAUGCCAGUGUCCAGCUGUGAGCUCAACAAGAACACCAGGCGAUGCCACCAGCAGCCACUGGCUACACACCUGUCCUGUCGCCUCUACCAGACCUGUGACCAUGCUAUACUACUCUCAGGUGGAUGGCAGCAACAGAUCACGUACCAGCGUCACGUUCAGAACCUGCAGCUCUUCUACAGAAUGCUGAGGAACAACGGUUUCCACAGAGAUCACAUCAAGACCUUCUUCGCUGGGAACGGACAGCUCUCAGAGGAGGCAGAAUGGGUAUACCCGGCUACAGAGAAACGAGUGAUAAGGAACCACAUAUCCUAUAUCUGUGGUAAGCAGCACUGUGCAGACUCCCUGGUGCUCUACCUCAACAGCCCCACCAGGAACGACGGGACCAUGCUGCUCUGGGACGGCAACUACAACGGCAUAGCAGACCUGAAGGAGCGUUACAGUGUGGGAGAGCUCCUAGCGGACCUGGCAGGCUGUAGGGCUAGACGAGUACUAGUCUUCGUAGAGCAGAGUUACAGCGGGGCGCUCAGUAAGAGACUGAAAGGAUCUCUGAAACACCUGAACGUGGUGCUGCUCAACAUAGCCAACAGCUGGGCCUCGCUGCACCCAGCAACAUGCCUUAUAGACCACCUGAGUAAGGACAGUCACAUCCAUCUAGAGUACAACACAGAGAGACCCAACCACAUGGACAACACAGAGAGACCCAACCACAUGGACAACACAGAGAGACCCAACCACAUGGACAACACAGAGAGACCCAACCACAUGGACAACACAGAGAGACCCAACCACAUGGACAACACAGAGAGACCCAACCACAUGGACAACACAGAGAGACCCAACCACAUGGACAACACAGAGAGACCCAACCACAUGGACAACACAGACAGACCCAACCACAUGGACAACACAGAGAGACCCAACCACAUGGACAACACAGAGAGACCCAACCACAUGGACAACACAGAGAGACCCAACCACAUGGACAACACAGACAGACCCAACCACAUGGACAACACAGAGAGACCCAACCACAUGGACAACACAGAGAGACCCAACCACAUGGACAACACAGAGAGACCCAACCACAUGGACAACACACAGAGCACCUAUAGGCACACUCAUGCACUUUGGCAUGCUUUGCUUUUUCUGCAUCACUUCCCCAAUCACACACAUUACAGUGUUGAUCUCCUGUGUUCGUCAUUUCAUUGUGUUGAUAAUGGUUGACAUAAACCUGUAUAAAUGUUAUGUCUACGGUGCCUUCAGAAAGUAUUCAGACCUCUUGACUUAUUUUGUUACGUUACAGCCUUAUUCUAAAAUUGAUUAGGUACGUUUUUUUCCCCUCAAUCAAUCUACACACAAUGCCCCAUAAUGACAUCACAAUACCCCAUAAUGACAUCACAAUACCCCAUAAUGACAUCACAAUACCCCAUAAUGACAAAGCAAAAACAAGUUUAGACAUUUUUGCUAAUUUAUUAAAAAUACAAAUCUGAAAUAAUACAUUAACAUAAGUAUUCAGGAACUUUUGGGUAGCGAUUACAGCCUCGGGUCUUCUUGGGUAUGAUGCUACAAGCUUGGCACGCCUGUAUUUGGGGAGUUUCUCACAUUCUUUUCUGCAGAUCCUCCAAGCUCUAUCAGGUUAGAUGGGGAGCAUCGCAGCACAGCUUUUUUCAGGUCUCUCCAGAGAUGUUAGAUCGGGUUCAAAUCCGGGAUCUGGCUGGACCACUCAAGGAUAUUCAGAAACUUGUCUUGAAGCCACUCCUGCGUUGUCUUGGUUGUGUGGUUAGGGUCAUUGUCCUGUUGGAAGGUGAACCUUCGCCCCAGUCUGAGGUCCUGAGUGCUCUGUAGCAGGUUUUCAUCAAGGAUCUCUCUGUUCUUCGCUCCGUUCAUCUUUCCCUCAAUCCUGACUAGUCUUCCAGUCCCUGCUGCUGAAAAACAUCCCCACAGCAUGAUGUUGCAACCAUCAUGCUUCACAGUAGGGAUGGUGCCAGGUUUCCUCCAGACAGAAUUGGCAUUCAGGCCAGAGAGUUCAAUCUUGGUUUCAUCAGACCAGACAAUCUUGUUUCUCACGGUCUGAGAGUCCUUUAGGUGCCUUUUGGCAGACUCCAAGCGGGCUGUCAUGUGCCUUUUACUGAGGAGAGGCUUCCGUCUAGCCACUUUACCAUAAAGACCUGAUUGGUGGAGUGCUGCAGAGAUGGUUGUCCUUCUGGAAGGUUCUCCCAUCUCCACAGAGGAACUCUAGAGCUCUGUCAGAGUGACCAUUGGUCACCUCCCUGACCAAGGCCCUUCUCCCCUGAUUGGUCAGUUUAGCCGGACAGCCAGCUCUAGGAAGAGUAUUGGUGGUUCCAAACUUCUUCCAUUUAAGAAUGAUGGAGGCCACUGUGUUCUUGGGGACCUUCAAUGCUGCAGACAUUUUUGGUACCCUUCCUCAGAUCUGUGCCUCGACACAAUCCUGUCUUGGAGCUCUACAGACAAUUCCUUUGACCUCGUGACUUGGUUUUUGUUCUGACGUGCACUGUCAACUGUGGGACCUUAUAAAGACAGGUGUGUGCCUUUCCAAAUCAUGUCCAAUCAAUUGAAUUUUCCACAGGUGGACUCCAAUCAAGUUGUAGAAACAUCUCAAGGAUGAUGAAUGGAAACAGGAUGCACCUGAGCUCAAUUUAGAGUCUCAUAGCAAAGGGUCUGAAUACCAAUGUAAAUAAGGUAUUUCAGUUUAUUGUUAAAAAAAAUAUAUAUUCUAAAAAUCUGUUUUCACUUCGUCAUUAUGGAGUAUUGUGUGUAGAUUGCUGAGAUUAUAUAUAUUUUUUAAUAUAUAUUUUUUAGAAUAAGGAUGUAACGUAAAAAAAUGUGGGAAAAGGUCUGAAUACUUUCUGAAGGCACCGUACGUAGUGUAAUUGUGUUGAUAACGCUUGGCAUAAACAGUAUGAAUGUCGUGUCUACGUAGUUUCAUUGUGUUGAUAACGCUUGGCAUAUGAAUGUGAGACCACAAUCAGUCAUAGCAAAUUCUUCCCCUCUCAAUCAUCUCUCACUCCUCUCCCUAUAGGGUUUGAUAGCCCAUGAGAUUGAAAUUUAAGCUUUUUGUAUAGGUCAGAUAAAUUUAACUGUAUGUCCUAUUCUAUAAAUGCUGUUUGUUUAUCUUGUAAGUUAACGAAUGAAAUUUAGUGGAUGUUUGAUGGAAUUUCAAAUCCUACAUGUGUAUUUUAAAACCAUAGCUUGUGCAAGCAGAUGUACAUAUUCAAAAAUAAAUUAACUUUUGUACAUACACUAGUAGAUAUGCUUGUAUUUAUUGCUAUGAACUUUGUUUAUGGAUGAUUGUUUAAACUUGUUCAAGUGUUUCAUAAAUGGAUGUCAUCAUUAAUUUAAUAAAACAACAGUAGCUUCACAGAUCACGUUGCAGUGCAUUGGAGUUUCCUCUAGCAUACAGAUUCCUAAUUCAUUAAUAAUAAUAAAUAAUUGACAAACAAACAGGAGGUCAGAAGCUAUCUGACGCAGUUUAUUAUCAACAGUUGAAGCCUGGC
rnacentral:lncRNA from 8 species